UGUACAGAUGUUACAGCUAUGUACAUUCUCUGGUGAAAAACUAAUGAGUUUUCAAGCUGUUCGGUCAGAGUGCUUGUUGCGCUCUCUAAACGAACUGAAAUAUAAGACGGCUUAGGCUUCAUGUUGCAGUGAUAUGAAAAUGGUGUCUGUGGAUCUUUUUGUAUGCAAAAAUUUGUAAUAAUUAUUUGAAAUCAUUUUGAGGAUUAUUAGAGUAUGGAAAUAUAUGUGAGAACACAUACUAUUAUAGUUUUGUCCUAUUUUUUAUCAUUCAAUAGUCUUCUUAAAAUUUAUAAAUAUAAAGCAGAUAGUUUUCAUUGAAAUUCAAUAUAUUGGGUCUUAUUUGUAUGUAUUAAUUUUUGACUAAAGGUACGAUUCCGAUAACGACUGCAGACAGCAACUGCAAACAUCAGUUGCAGUUCUCGGCGUUAUGGACGUUACUACUUUGCACUAUUUAUCUGUAUGAGACUUAUUCCGACAUCUGACUGCAACUGCUGUCUGGCAGAACGUCAGUUGCUAAUAAUUAUGCAAAUUAUUAGUGCAAAAUAAUGACGUCUGUCAUGGUGACAACUGUAACUGCCAUCUGCAGUCGUUGUCGGAAUCGUACCUUUAAAGUGUGUGGUAUAAUUAUAAUAAUUAUAUAUAUUAUAUAACUUAAAUGGUUUAAACUUAAGUUUGUUAUUACAUUGUGACUUAAAUGUUUAAUUUGUUAAUAAAUGAUUUAUUAGUUUA